ACUCAAAUGAAUUGACGGGGAGACGCACAAGCGGUGGAUUAUGUGGUUUAAUUCGAAGGUACGCGAAGAACCUUACCAAGGCUUGACAUCCCGAGAAGGCCCUAGAAAUAGGGCUGUGCCUUAGGGAACUCGGUGACAGGUGUUGCAUGGCCGUCGUCAGCUCGUGUCGUGAGAUGUUGGGUUAAGUCCCGCAACGAGCGCAACCCUUAUCGUCUGUUGGAUUUUCAGGCGAGACUGCCCGGGUUAACCGGGAGGAAGGUGGGGACGAUGUCAGGUCAGCAUGGCCCUUACGCCUUGGGCUACACACGUAAUACAAUGGCCGGUACAACGGGUCGCGAACCCGCGAGGGGGAGCUAAUCCCAUCAAAACCGGUCUCAGUUCGGAUUGCAGGCUGCAACUCGCCUGCAUGAAGUUGGAAUCGCUAGUAACCGUGGGUCAGCACACCACGGUGAAUACGUUCUCGUCUCUUGUACACACCGCCCGU
rnacentral:rRNA from 1 species